rnacentral:rRNA from 1 species
GUUGAACGCUAGCGGGAUGCCUUACACAUGCAAGUCGAACGGCACGCACGGACUUCGGUCUGGUGGCGAGUGGCGAACGGGUGAGUAAUGUAUCGGAACGUGCCCAGUAGCGGGGGAUAACUACGCGAAAGCGUAGCUAAUACCGCAUACGCCCUACGGGGGAAAGCAGGGGAUCGCAAGACCUUGCACUAUUGGAGCGGCCGAUAUCGGAUUAGCUAGUUGGUGGGGUAACGGCUCACCAAGGCGACGAUCCGUAGCUGGUUUGAGAGGACGACCAGCCACACUGGGACUGAGACACGGCCCAGACUCCUACGGGAGGCAGCAGUGGGGAAUUUUGGACAAUGGGGGAAACCCUGAUCCAGCCAUCCCGCGUGUGCGAUGAAGGCCUUCGGGUUGUAAAGCACUUUUGGCAAGGAAAGAAACGUCGCGGGUUAUACCCCGCGAAACUGACGGUACCUGCAGAAUAAGCACCGGCUAACUACGUGC